GGGACAACCCGGCAACACAGGCGGGGAUUUCCCGAAGGAGGAGAAGCUGGGCCGCCUCGGGCCGGGCAGGACGGUGGGGAAGUGAGGCGGAUAUCCCGAAACCCAGCUGGGAUGGACGCAUAGGCGACGAGGCCAGCUCCCCUCGGGGAUGGAUACCUGGGGACGCCUGUUUUCAGAGCAGCCUUGUUCUGUACAGCCGAGGAAAGUGAAACCACAGACAGCAGGGGACGACUGUACUGAUUGCUACACGCAGAAGUGGACUGGUGGGAUGCCUACCUCUUUCACGUGCAUCAGUUCCCCUCCCUUCCCUUUUCUUUUAUUAUAAAAAUAUAACAUUUUUCUCAUAUCUUUUCUUCAUCUGUUUAUUCUAAAGUUAUCUGUAUGAGGCCUUCCUUAGCCACGUUAUGUAAAAUUUCAAAACUAUUCCACUUCACAUCCUUACUUCCAUACUUUACUUUUUCCUUACCACUUAUCACUAAGAUAUAUUUUGCUUACUGUCUGUCAUUCCGAUUUUAAUUUAAGCUCCCCAGGGCAAAAAUAUUUGUCUUAUUUACCAUUAUAUUCCCAGUGCCAGAACAAUGCUAGCACAUAGUAAGUGGUCAAUAAAAACUUGUUGUAUUACCGAAA